rnacentral:piRNA from 1 species
UGGUGGCACCUGAAGAUAUAGGGCUAGU